GACUCCUUGGCGCAAUUGGCAGCGCGUUCGUCUCCAAAGCGAAAGGUUGCGUGUUCAAAUCACGUAGGGGUCA
rnacentral:tRNA from 1 species